GAUGAACGCUGGCGGCGUGCUUAACACAUGCAAGUCGAACGGAAAGGCCACAGCUUGCUGUGGUACUCGAGUGGCGAACGGGUGAGUAACACGCGGGUGAUCUGCCCUGUACUUCGGGAUAAGCUUGGGAAACUGGGUCUAAUACCGGAUAGGAAUCACAUGUGGGUGUGUGGUUGGAAAGCUUUUGCGGUAUGGGAUGAGCUCGCGGCCUAUCAGCUUGUUGGUGGGGUAAUGGCCUACCAAGGCGUCGACGGGUAGCCGGCCUGAGAGGGUGUACGGCCACAUUGGGACUGAGAUACGGCCCAGACUCCUACGGGAGGCAGCAGUGGGGAAUAUUGCACAAUGGGCGCAAGCCUGAUGCAGCGACGCCGCGUGGGGGAUGACGGCCUUCGGGUUGUAAACUCCUUUCGUCAGGGACGAAGCGAAAGUGACGGUACCUGGAUAAGAAGCACCGGCUAACUACGUG
rnacentral:rRNA from 1 species